AUGUGGUUUAAUUCGAUGCAACGCGAAGAACCUUACCUGGUCUUGACAUCCACAGAACUUUCCAGAGAUGGAUUGGUGCCUUCGGGAACUGUGAGACAGGUGCUGCAUGGCUGUCGUCAGCUCGUGUUGUGAAAUGUUGGGUUAAGUCCCGCAACGAGCGCAACCCUUAUCCUUUGUUGCCAGCGGUCGGCCGGGAACUCAAAGGAGACUGCCAGUGAUAAACUGGAGGAAGGUGGGGAUGACGUCAAGUCAUCAUGGCCCUUACGACCAGGGCUACACACGUGCUACAAUGGCAUAUACAAAGAGAAGCGACCUCGCGAGAGCAAGCGGACCUCAUAAAGUAUGUCGUAGUCCGGAUUGGAGUCUGCAACUCGACUCCAUGAAGUCGGAAUCGCUAGUAAUCGUAGAUCAGAAUGCU
rnacentral:rRNA from 1 species